rnacentral:lncRNA from 1 species
UCCAAAGGUUCCCGGUCCCCGCCCCCUUUGUGACCUCAUACAAAGGCUUGGCUAAUACUGCAAAGUUUGGGAUCCACAGUCUACAAAACCCCACAGCUCCCAAGAAUUCCCUCACCUGCCUUCUGCCCUUAGGCUCCGGUAGAUUGCAAAUAACCUGCUUUCUUUCUGUUCCCGGGCUGAGUUCGGACCCCUGUCGGAGAGUAAAUCCCAAGUAAGGUACCUGCCGUCGGCAGAUUUGAGCUUUCUUCUUGGACACCUAAUACCCACAGUCCUCCAGGAAUGGAACAGAUAAGAAGAUACGGAGAUUGGACGGUGCUGCCGUGCGGCCGCCGCAGGACACUUUUAAUAUCCCUGUUUCUCAGGCUGUAGAUGAAGGGGUUCAGCAUGGGGUGAUCACCGUGUACAUCACUGAGGCCACUGCAGCCUUUCUCAGGGAAGAUGACACAUCUGAACUGAGGUACCC